AUCCUCUCCAUCCACAGCUCGGCCCAGGGCCAAGCUUUGAGAGCUCAGGGGACAGGACUGUUGUCAGUGGUGGGGCUGGGGGUUAGGCGAGGAUGUUGGAACAGGGCCUCUGGCUGAGAGGGGCAAGCGGCCUCUCCUCUGUUGGCCCCUCAGCAACUCACUGCCCCUGUUUGGGCCUCUGUCUCCCCAUCAGGGAAAUGGAGGUAUGGUGAUUGUGUGGUGAUUGUGUGGUGCAGGCCUCACAGGGUGGUAAUGAGGUAAGAGGGAGGAAAGGAAUGUGGGACCUUUCUGCCUGCUCCACCUGGAGGGGUGAGGACCAGAACAAUGAUGACAGUCAUGCGACAGUGAGUCCUCAGGAGAACCUGCGAGGUAGCUGGAGUUCUCACACUUUCCAGAUGAGGAAACAGGCUCGAGGAGGCCAGGCCGAAAGCCCAAGCUCACACCCAGAGUGAGAGUUGGAGCUGGGCUUGUUCUGGAAUCACAAGACCUUGCAGGGUGGAGUGGCAUUGGUACCAGUUCACUCGAGUCAGAUGUUCAGGGUCAGAGGACAGUGGUGCUGGAGAGAAAUGGGGUGAGGGGAGUAUGGCCUCGCUGACACUGUCCUCGACUCUGGCAGGAGGGGCCCUCCACGUUUGUCCCCCGGAGAGCAACCCCCAGAGAGUGCAGGAGAAGCAGCAGCAGCAGCAGGUCAAACACCAAGGGUAGAGGUCGUCAAGAGAUCAAGUCUAAUCUACCUACGGGUGUGGCAGGCUUAACUAUGGAUGUUCAAGCCAGACAUUGCCAGAAGAACUACAUCUCUUCACCCAUAGAAAAAUGAAUGAUGUGACCAUUUGGUGCAGGACAACAGUAUUAUGUUCACCAGUCUCUGUACUGUAUGUUACUGCACAGCACGGACUGUAGGAGAAAGCCCAGAGGAGCAAUGAAGACAAAGAAGACACGACACCUGCAAAAAGUCAGUGGAGUAUUUCUACAUAA